AUUGAACGCUGGCGGCAUGCCUUACACAUGCAAGUCGAACGGUAACGCGGGGCAACCUGGCGACGAGUGGCGAACGGGUGAGUAACGCAUCGGAACGUGCCAGUAGUGGGGGAUAGCCCGGCGAAAGCCGGAUUAAUACCGCAUACGACCUACGGGUGAAAGAGGGGGAUCGCAAGACCUCUCGCUAUUGGAGCGGCCGAUGUCAGAUUAGGUAGUUGGUGGGGUAAAGGCCUACCAAGCCUACGAUCUGUAGCUGGUCUGAGAGGACGACCAGCCACACUGGGACUGAGACACGGCCCAGACUCCUACGGGAGGCAGCAGUGGGGAAUUUUGGACAAUGGGCGCAAGCCUGAUCCAGCCAUGCCGCGUGCGGGAAGAAGGCCUUCGGGUUGUAAACCGCUUUUGUCAGGGAAGAAACGCUCUGGACUAAUACUCUGGGGUAAUGACGGUACCUGAAGAAUAAGCACCGGCUAACUACGUGCCAGCAGCCGCAGUAA
rnacentral:rRNA from 1 species